ensembl:lncRNA
UUUUUAGUUUUUCUCUGCUCCCUUGUUCUUUACUAGGCUACCUGUCUACACACAAACACACAGGCAGACAAACAUCUUACUUGUCUGAUAGAUACAGUGCAAUAUAAAAGCACAUCCACAUGUUUCCGUUCCACUUCAGACAAUUAAGUCAGCUGUUGGAAACAGAUGAGUCAGUAAGGCGCUGUCACUUUUUUCACAUGCAAUCUAUUUAUGCCUGAAAGAACGGAGAGAACCAUGUGAUUAGUGUGGAAACAAGAGCAGCGCUAGUUGCUGAUCAACAUUUCUUAUCUGGAGAUAAAGUAUUUAUUCAUUUGAUACAAAGUAAUAAUAAUUUCUAAAAGGUUCACCAAAAAAAUGAAAAAAUGAAAAAUUGAGGAGUCUAAAAAUAUGACCAAUGUGUAAACUCAAGUCUACUUUUAGCCUUUCAGCGCUGUUGAUCUACCAUCACUAAACACUUUUCUCAUGAAUUUAAACUCCAGGUACUCGUCAUGAUCAAUACGAUUCAAAACACUUGAAAGGCAACAAAGAAAAUGCUCAAUUUAAGACUUCAGCAAUGAAUUAGCCUAUGUUAAGAUUUUUUUUAUUUGCAUAUAUGUGCAGUUACUACUUCACUGUUUCAAGUUAAACAUCUUACCUCAAAAGAUUCAUUCAGACUAUUGAUAAUAGCAAAUUAAUGCUAGUUUGAGUCUGCUCGUAGGGUGACCGCAUCCAACAAACUAAAUGCUGGGCAAAGGAAGUGUUUGUAUGAAAUGAUGUGGGACACACAACUAACGCUGAGACAUUCUUAUAAAAAAAAAAAAAAAAAAGCACAUCAACACACAAGUUACACAGGUUGAAGCCGCUGCUUGUGUCAUUUAAAAAUGUAUCCUAUUUUAUUUGGAGGUAUACUUGCAUAUUCCCCUUUUCUAUAUAUAAAAACAAAACAAAAAGCAUCCAUCCUCCACAGUGGCCUCCGUCCCAAAGCUGAAGAGUCAUUUGUCUAAAGAAGAAGAGUCAUAUCUUCUAGAAACCUUAAUCGCGGACUAGCUCAGUUCUCUGUAACGCUAUAAUAGAUAUGCUGAAUGCAUAGAAAACCUAUUGGAAUACAAAGAAAAGAGUCCAUUUAUCUCCGAUUUCACAGUUUUUACAGCAAAUAUGAAGCUCUACAUCUCUACAGUUUGUUCAGUUCCAUGGAUUUAUUUGAAUUACAGCUACAUUGCAUGCAGAAAGAUGAUUCCACAUGCAGCUGAGUGUAGGGAUAGUGACACUAAUCUCGAGGAGAACCUGGGCGGCUGAUAUUCAGCGACGGGUUUAUGAAAAGUGUGCCACUGUCUCCACAGCUUCACCACUGUGGUGUGGAGGCAGCAUUAUCCUGGCUGCCUCAAUCAUGUGUUUACACAACAUAAAAAAAAUUAAAAAAAACAAAGACUCAUUUUUUUACUUCUUCAAACACACAGGUUUGAUGUGUCAGUAUCAAACCUAAAGAUAAAAUUAGUGGCAAACAACCUUCAUGAGCUGUAUGUUCCUGACACUUUCUGUGCUAUUAAUUUCCACCCUCCCUUACUAUGAUUUGGCACAUAAUCUUUUAUCUUGUUCAGAAACUGAUCUUGAC